GGGUUAGUCCAUGCCGUAAACGUUGGGCGCUAGGUGUGGGGCUCUAUCCACGAGUUCCGUGCCGCAGCUAACGCAUUAAGCGCCCCGCCUGGGGAGUACGGCCGCAAGGCUAAAACUCCAAAGGAAUUGACGGGGGCCCGCACAAGCGGCGGAGCAUGCGGAUUAAUUCGAUGCAACGCGAAGAACCUUACCAAGGCUUGACAUACGCCGGAAACACCCAGAGAUGGGUGCCCCGCAAGGUCGGUGUACAGGUGGUGCAUGGUUGUCGUCAGCUCGUGUCGUGAGAUGUUGGGUUAAGUCCCGCAACGAGCGCAACCCUCGUUCUAUGUUGCCAGCGGGUAGUGCCGGGGACUCAUAGGAGACUGCCGGGGUCAACUCGGAGGAAGGUGGGGAUGACGUCAAAUCAUCAUGCCCCUUAUGUCUUGGGCUUCACGCAUGCUACAAUGGCCGGUACAAAGGGCUGCGAAACCGCGAGGUGGAGCGAAUCCCAAAAAGCCGGUCUCAGUUCGGAUUGGGGUCUGCAACU
rnacentral:rRNA from 1 species